rnacentral:rRNA from 1 species
CGAUGAACCACUUCGGUGGGGAUUAGUGGCGAACGGGUGAGUAACACGUGGGCAAUCUGCCCUGCACUCUGGGACAAGCCCUGGAAACGGGGUCUAAUACCGGAUAUGAGUCUCCAAGGCAUCUUGGAGACUGUAAAGCUCCGGCGGUGCAGGAUGAGCCCGCGGCCUAUCAGCUUGUUGGUGAGGUAAUGGCUCACCAAGGCGACGACGGGUAGCCGGCCUGAGAGGGCGACCGGCCACACUGGGACUGAGACACGGCCCAGACUCCUACGGGAGGCAGCAGUGGGGAAUAUUGCACAAUGGGCGAAAGCCUGAUGCAGCGACGCCGCGUGAGGGAUGACGGCCUUCGGGUUGUAAACCUCUUUCAGCAGGGAAGAAGCGAAAGUGACGGUACCUGCAGAAGAAGCGCCGGCUAACUACGUGCCAGCAGCCGCGGUAAUACGUAGGGCGCGAGCGUUGUCCGGAAUUAUUGGGCGUAAAGAGCUCGUAGGCGGCUUGUCACGUCGGUUGUGAAAGCCCGGGGCUUAACCCCGGGUCUGCAGUCGAUACGGGCAGGCUAGAGUUCGGUAGGGGAGAUCGGAAUUCCUGGUGUAGCGGUGAAAUGCGCAGAUAUCAGGAGGAACACCGGUGGCGAAGGCGGAUCUCUGGGCCGAUACUGACGCUGAGGAGCGAAAGCGUGGGGAGCGAACAGGAUUAGAUACCCUGGUAGUCCACGCCGUAAACGGUGGGCACUAGGUGUGGGCAACAUUCCACGUUGUCCGUGCCGCAGCUAACGCAUUAAGUGCCCCGCCUGGGGAGUAC